UGGUGGAGUGAUUUGUCUGGUUAAUUCCGAUAACGAACGAGACCACAACCUACUAAAUAGUGGCACGGAGCUCCUGCUGGGUGAAGGUGGGACCUUUGGGGCAGCCUAGCUGCCUCGCUUGUUCCGCUGGAUCCUUGGAGCCUCCGUCGUGGCUUCUUAGAGGGACAACCUGCCGGUAAGCGGGAGGAAGUUUGUGGCAAUAACA
rnacentral:rRNA from 1 species